rnacentral:tRNA from 1 species
GCGAUGUUGGUUCAGUGGUGGAAUUCUCGCCUUCCAUGUGGGAGACCCAGGUUCAAUUCCCAGCCAACGCA